GACGAACGCUGGCGGCGUGCUUAACACAUGCAAGUCGAACGGAAAGGCCCUGUCUUUGUGGGGUGCUUGAGUGGCGAAUGGGUGAGUAACACGUGAGUAACCUGCCCUUGACUUUGGGAUAAAUUAAGGAAAUUGGGGCUAAUACCGGAUAGGCGUUCCUGCUGCAUGGUGGGGGUUGGAACGUUUAGGAGGUUGGGGAUGGACUGGCGGUUUAUCAGCUUGUUGGUGGGGGAGUGGCUUACCAAGGCGGUGAUGGGUAGCCGGCCUGAGAGGGUGACCGGCGAAAUUGGGACGGAGAUACGGCCCAGAAUAGUACGGGAGGCAGUAGUGGGGAAUAUUGCACAAUGGGCGCAAGCCUGAGGUAGAAACGCCGCGUGCGGGAGGACGGACUUAGGGUUGUAAAACGCUUUCAGCAGGGACGAAGCUGUUUGUGACGGGACCUGAAGAAGAAGCACCGGCUAAGUACGUG
rnacentral:rRNA from 1 species